GAUGAACGCUGGCGGCGUGCCUAAUACAUGCAAGUCGAGCGAACGGACGAGAAGCUUGCUUCUCUGAUGUUAGCGGCGGACGGGUGAGUAACACGUGGAUAACCUACCUAUAAGACUGGGAUAACUUCGGGAAACCGUAGCUAAUACCGGAUAAUAUUUUGAACCGCAUGGUUCAAAAGUGAAAGACGGUCUUGCUGUCACUUAUAGAUGGAUCCGCGCUGCAUUAGCUAGUUGUUAAGGUAACGGCUUACCAAGGCAACGAUGCAUAGCCGACCUGAGAGGGUGAUCGGCCACACGGGAACUGAGACACGGUCCAGACUCCUACGGGAGGCAGCAGUAGGGAAUCUUCCGCAAUGGGCGAAAGCCUGACGGAGCAACGCCGCGUGAGUGAUGAAGGUCUUCGGAUCGUAAAACUCUGUUAUUAGGGAAGAACAGAUGUGUAAGUAACUGUGCACAUCUUGACGGUACCUAAUCAGAAAGCCACGGCUAACUACGUG
rnacentral:rRNA from 1 species